GGUUAAGCGACUAAGCGUACACGGUGGAUGCCCUGGCAGUCAGAGGCGAUGAAGGACGUGCUAAUCUGCGAAAAGCGUCGGUAAGGUGAUAUGAACCGUUAUAACCGGCGAUGUCCGAAUGGGGAAACCCAGUGCAAUUCGUUGCACUAUCGUUAACUGAAUACAUAGGUUAACGAGGCGAACCGGGGGAACUGAAACAUCUAAGUACCCCGAGGAAAAGAAAUCAACCGAGAUUCCCCCAGUAGCGGCGAGCGAACGGGGAGCAGCCCAGAGUCUGAAUCAGCUUGUGUGUUAGUGGAACGGUCUGGAAAGUCCGACGGUACAGGGUGAUAGUCCCGUACACCAAAAUGCACAGGUUGUGAACUCGAAGAGUAGGGCGGGACACGUGGUAUCCUGUCUGAAUAUGGGGGGACCAUCCUCCAAGGCUAAAUACUCCUGACUGACCGAUAGUGAACCAGUACCGUGAGGGAAAGGCGAAAAGAACCCCGGCGAGGGGAGUGAAAAAGAACCUGAAACCGUGUACGUACAAGCAGUGGGAGCACCUUUAUGGUGUGACUGCGUACCUUUUGUAUAAUGGGUCAGCGACUUAUAUUCUGUAGCAAGGUUAACCGUAUAGGGGAGCCGCAGGGAAACCGAGUCUUAACUGGGCGUUAAGUUGCAGGGUAUAGACCCGAAACCCGGUGAUCUAGCCAUGGGCAGGUUGAAGGUUGGGUAACACUAACUGGAGGACCGAACCGACUAAUGUUGAAAAAUUAGCGGAUGACUUGUGGCUGGGGGUGAAAGGCCAAUCAAACCGGGAGAUAGCUGGUUCUCCCCGAAAGCUAUUUAGGUAGCGCCUCGUGAACUCAUCUUCGGGGGUAGAGCACUGUUUCGGCUAGGGGGUCAUCCCGACUUACCAACCCGAUGCAAACUACGAAUACCGAAGAAUGUUAUCACGGGAGACACACGGCGGGUGCUAACGUCCGUCGUGAAGAGGGAAACAACCCAGACCGCCAGCUAAGGUCCCAAAGUCAUGGUUAAGUGGGAAACGAUGUGGGAAGGCACAGACAGCCAGGAUGUUGGCUUAGAAGCAGCCAUCAUUUAAAGAAAGCGUAAUAGCUCACUGGUCGAGUCGGCCUGCGCGGAAGAUGUAACGGGGCUAAACCAUGCACCGAAGCUGCGGCAGCGACACUAUGUGUUGUUGGGUAGGGGAGCGUUCUGUAAGCCUGCGAAGGUGACCUGUGAGGGUUGCUGGAGGUAUCAGAAGUGCGAAUGCUGACAUAAGUAACGAUAAAGCGGGUGAAAAGCCCGCUCGCCGGAAGACCAAGGGUUCCUGUCCAACGUUAAUCGGGGCAGGGUGAGUCGACCCCUAAGGCGAGGCCGAAAGGCGUAGUCGAUGGGAAACAGGUUAAUAUUCCUGUACUUGGUGUUACUGCGAAGGGGGGACGGAGAAGGCUAUGUUAGCCGGGCGACGGUUGUCCCGGUUUAAGCAUGUAGGCUGGUUAUCCAGGCAAAUCCGGAUAAUCAAGGCUGAGGUGUGAUGACGAGGCACUACGGUGCUGAAGUAACAAAUGCCCUGCUUCCAGGAAAAGCCUCUAAGCAUCAGGUAACAUCAAAUCGUACCCCAAACCGACACAGGUGGUCAGGUAGAGAAUACCAAGGCGCUUGAGAGAACUCGGGUGAAGGAACUAGGCAAAAUGGUGCCGUAACUUCGGGAGAAGGCACGCUGGUGUGUAGGUGAAGCCCCUGCGGGUGGAGCUGAGACCAGUCGAAGAUACCAGCUGGCUGCAACUGUUUAUUAAAAACACAGCACUGUGCAAACACGAAAGUGGACGUAUACGGUGUGACGCCUGCCCGGUGCCGGAAGGUUAAUUGAUGGGGUUAUCCGUAAGGAGAAGCUCUUGAUCGAAGCCCCGGUAAACGGCGGCCGUAACUAUAACGGUCCUAAGGUAGCGAAAUUCCUUGUCGGGUAAGUUCCGACCUGCACGAAUGGCGUAAUGAUGGCCAGGCUGUCUCCACCCGAGACUCAGUGAAAUUGAACUCGCUGUGAAGAUGCAGUGUACCCGCGGCAAGACGGAAAGACCCCGUGAACCUUUACUAUAGCUUGACACUGAACAUUGAGCCUUGAUGUGUAGGAUAGGUGGGAGGCUUUGAAGCGUGGACGCCAGUCUGCGUGGAGCCAACCUUGAAAUACCACCCUUUAAUGUUUGAUGUUCUAACGUGGGCCCCUAAUCGGGGUUGCGGACAGUGUCUGGUGGGUAGUUUGACUGGGGCGGUCUCCUCCCAAAGCGUAACGGAGGAGCACGAAGGUUAGCUAAUCCUGGUCGGACAUCAGGAGGUUAGUGCAAUGGCAUAAGCUAGCUUGACUGCGAGCGUGACGGCGCGAGCAGGUGCGAAAGCAGGUCAUAGUGAUCCGGUGGUUCUGAAUGGAAGGGCCAUCGCUCAACGGAUAAAAGGUACUCCGGGGAUAACAGGCUGAUACCGCCCAAGAGUUCAUAUCGACGGCGGUGUUUGGCACCUCGAUGUCGGCUCAUCACAUCCUGGGGCUGAAGUAGGUCCCAAGGGUAUGGCUGUUCGCCAUUUAAAGUGGUACGCGAGCUGGGUUUAGAACGUCGUGAGACAGUUCGGUCCCUAUCUGCCGUGGGCGCUGGAGAAUUGAGGGGGGCUGCUCCUAGUACGAGAGGACCGGAGUGGACGCAUCACUGGUGUUCGGGUUGUCAUGCCAAUGGCACUGCCCGGUAGCUAAAUGCGGAAGAGAUAAGUGCUGAAAGCAUCUAAGCACGAAACUUGCCCCGAGAUGAGUUCUCCCUGAGACUAUAAGUCUCCUGAAGGAACGUUGAAGACGACGACGUUGAUAGGCCGGGUGUGUAAGCGCAGCGAUGCGUUGAGCUAACCGGUACUAAUGAACCGUGAGGCUUAACCUU
rnacentral:rRNA from 1 species